rnacentral:lncRNA from 1 species
AAAAAAGCUGGCUGACUGCUACUAACGUGUCACCCAGAUCUCAUAUCCAAAUCACAUGCAUUGCUGGUCCCACAUCAAACAACAUAAUCGACGCCUCAGAUCUGUUUGGUAGCUCAUUGGCCCCACCAAUACCUCUCGAACUUCCGAACCUUCUUCCUUCUACUCUAUUUAUAAUCCUCCCUUCCUUUCUUUAUUUCCUCACUGAUCAGGACUGCACGCAAAGAGCAGAGAGAGAGAGAGAGUAUCAAAACUAGCAAAAAAUGAUGCUAAAAAAAGCUGUCAUCCUUCUUUCUUUGAUCUGCAUUUCGAUUGCUGGUGUUUCUGGUCAAGCACCAGCAACGUCACCAACAGCAACACCAGCACCACCCACACCAACUUCUUCUCCACCGCCAGCAACCACUCCUCCACCAGUUUCAGCCCCACCUCCUGUUACCCAAUCUCCACCUCCAGCUACCCCUCCUCCAGUUUCAGCCCCACCACCUGCCACCCCUCCUCCCGCAACCCCACCACCAGCAACUCCUCCUCCCGCCACCCCACCACCAGCAACCCCACCACCUGCUACUCCUCCACCAGCAACCCCUCCUCCCGCUGUUCCUCCACCAGCUCCAUUGGCAGCUCCACCAGCUCUUGUUCCAGCUCCAGCUCCCAGCAAGCCUAAGUUGAAGUCUCCAGCUCCAUCUCCCCUGGCAUUGAGUCCUCCAUCUCCACCAACUGGCG